AUAUCACUCUCUCUUUCAAUAUUUUACCCGAUUUGUCUUGUUCUAGAAUUAAAUGAUGUAGUGAGGAUACUUCCCCCACCUAUAACAAAAAUAAAUCGGAUCUUCGACCGUCUUUGACAGUUACUGGUUCAGUUUUGCCUUGAAUUUCGACGAGUACGCAUCGCAGUUCUCACAGUACGCAUUCUCCGCAAUUAAUAGAGAAGAGUUAAUGUAAGUACGAAAUUAUAUCACUCUCUCUUUCAAUAUUUUACCCGAUUUGUCUUGUUCUAGAAUUAAAUGAUGUAGUGAGGAUACUUCCCCCACCUAUAACAACAAUAAAUCGGAUCUUCGACCGUCUUUGACAGUUACUGGUUCAGUUUUGCCUUGAAUUUCGACGAGUACGCAUCGCAGUUCUCACAGUACGCAUUCUCCGCAAUUAAUAGAGAAGAGUUAAUAAUUAAAUGGUGUAGUGAGGAUAUUUCCCCCACCUAUGACAAUAACAAAUCGGAUCUUCGACCGUCUUUGACAGUUACUGGUUCAGUUUUGCCUUGAAUUUCGACCAGUACACAUCGCAGUUCUCACAAAUUAAAUGGUGUAGUGAGGAUAUUUCCCCCACCUAUGACAAUAACAAAUCGGAUCUUCGACCGUCUUUGACAGUUACUUGUUCAGUUUUGCCUUGAAUUUCGACGAGUACGCAUCGCAGUUCUCACAAUAUACAUUCUCCGCAAUUAAUAAAGAAGAGUUAAUGUGGGUACAAAAUUAUAUCAUUCGUUCUUUCAAUAUUCUAUACGAUUUGUUGUGUUUCAGAAUUAAAUG